GUGCUUAACACAUGCAAGUCGAACGAUGAAGCCCAGCUUGCUGGGUGGAUUAGUGGCGAACGGGUGAGUAACACGUGAGUAACCUGCCCUUAACUCUGGGAUAAGCCUGGGAAACUGGGUCUAAUACCGGAUAGGAGCGUCCACCGCAUGGUGGGUGUUGGAAAGAUUUAUCGGUUUUGGAUGGACUCGCGGCCUAUCAGCUUGUUGGUGAGGUAAUGGCUCACCAAGGCGACGACGGGUAGCCGGCCUGAGAGGGUGACCGGCCACACUGGGACUGAGACACGGCCCAGACUCCUACGGGAGGCAGCAGUGGGGAAUAUUGCACAAUGGGCGAAAGCCUGAUGCAGCGACGCCGCGUGAGGGAUGACGGCCUUCGGGUUGUAAACCUCUUUCAGUAGGGAAGAAGCGAAAGUGACGGUACCUGCAGAAGAAGCACCGGCUAACUACGUGCCAGCAGCCGCGGUAAUACGUAGGGUGCGAGCGUUAUCCGGAAUUAUUGGGCGUAAAGAGCUCGUAGGCGGUUUGUCGCGUCUGUCGUGAAAGUCCGGGGCUUAACCCCGGAUCUGCGGUGGGUACGGGCAGACUAGAGUGCAGUAGGGGAGACUGGAAUUCCUGGUGUAGCGGUGGAAUGCGCAGAUAUCAGGAGGAACACCGNGGGCGAAGGCANNNNNCUGGGCNGUA
rnacentral:rRNA from 1 species